rnacentral:tRNA from 1 species
GUUUGGAUAGUUUAUUAAUAAAACAUUAGUUUGUGGCACUAAAAAAAUAAAAUUUUAUUCCAGACC